rnacentral:rRNA from 1 species
GACGAACGCUGGCGGCGUGCCUAAUACAUGCAAGUAGAACGCUGAAGGAGGAGCUUGCUCUUCUGGAUGAGUUGCGAACGGGUGAGUAACGCGUAGGUAACCUGCCUGGUAGCGGGGGAUAACUAUUGGAAACGAUAGCUAAUACCGCAUAAGAGUAGAUGUUGCAUGACAUUUACUUAAAAGGUGCAAUUGCAUCACUACCAGAUGGACCUGCGUUGUAUUAGCUAGUUGGUGGGGUAACGGCUUACCAAGGCGACGAUACAUAGCCGACCUGAGAGGGUGAUCGGCCAGACUGGGACUGAGACACGGCCCAGACUCCUACGGGAGGCAGCAGUAGGGAAUCUUAGGCAAGGGACGGAAGUCUGACCGAGCAACGCCGAGUGAGGGAAGAAGGUUGUCGGAUCGUAAAGAUCGGUUGUAAGAGAAGAACGAGUGUGAGAGUGGAAAGUUCACACUGUGACGGUAUCUUACCAGAAAGGGACGGCUAACUACGUG